AACGCACCUUGUGCUCUUUGGUAUUCCGAAGAGCAUACCUGUUUGAGUGUCAUUUAAAUUUCCCUCAACCUCGUUUCUUCCCGAAGUGAGGCUUGGAUUGCUGGAGUGUUUUGCAGGCAUAUUUUUGUGUUCUGCUCCUCUGAAAUGCAUUAGUAGAGAUCAUCCUUUUUUUGAAGGCUUUUUGAUCUUUCCAUAUGGUGUGAUAGAUAAUUUCUUACCACCUGCUUGUGGAGAUCUAGGCCGGAAAGAUGAUUUGCUUUGCUCUACAACUGUCUUUUUAAGGACUGAACUUUUCAAUAGUUCAUUAUUUGACAUUUGAUCUCAAAUCAGGUAGGACUACCCGCUGAACUUAA
rnacentral:misc_RNA from 1 species